rnacentral:tRNA from 1 species
GGCGUGUUCGUCUAGCGGCCAAGGACAGAACGUUCUCAACGUUCAGAUCACCGGUUCAAAUCCGGUACACGCCACAA